UAAAACAAAUCAUAUGUUAAUGUGAUUUACACAAUUUAGUGUAGUUUUAACAGUGAAGACAAAUGAAGAAGAAAGGGCGAACUAUGUUGACGAUGAUCAUUUUAACACAGCAAUCAACACUGGCUGCUCCACCAUACAUAAACUGUUCAUUUGAAGAGUGUAGUUGCGGUAUGUGAUCGUCAUAAGUCAACAACAUGUCUGGCUGAAUGGGAACUUCCAACUGUAAAUUAACCAAAACCGUACGGCGCAAACAUAAAAAAAAGAGCUUUCCUUCCAACUUCAAGUUUCUUGAAUUUUCCAAGACACGUACAUGAGGGUAAAACUGCUCGUUCUGUUAUGAUUCCUCCUGAGCAAUUUUUUCCUUCUCCCGUUUACAAUGGUAUUGAAGAAGCGUCUGCUAACGUUGCCGUAAAUUUAUUGAACAGAGACCCAAUUACAAAAUAAAACAUUAUUGCCAUAAAUUGUUUUCA